GACGAACGCUGGCGGCGUGCCUAACACAUGCAAGUCGAACGGAAAGGCCCUGCUCUUGUGGGCUGCUCGAUUGGCGAACGGGUGAGUAACACGUGAGUAACCUGCCCUUGACUUUCGGAGAACUUCAGGAGACUGGGGCUAAAACCAGAUAGGAUCUCCUGCCGCAUGGUGGGCGUUGGAAAGUUUCGGCGGUUGGGGAUGGACUCGCGGCUUAUCAGCUUGUUGGUGGGGUAGUGGCUUACCAAGGCUUUGACGGGUAGCCGGCCUGAGAGGGUGACAGGCACAAUAGGGAUUGGGAUGCGGCCCAGACUAAUACGGGAGGAAGGAGUGGGGAAUAGGGCACAAUGCGCGGAAGGAUGAUGUAACGACGCCGCGUGGGGGAAGACGGCUUUUGGGUUGUAAACAGAUUUUGCCUGAGAAGAAGCGUGAGUGACGGUACUGGGUAAAGAAGCACCGGCUAACUACGU
rnacentral:rRNA from 1 species